UACGGAGGGUGCAAGCGUUAUCCGGAUUUACUGGGUUUGAAGGGUGUGUAGGCGGGCUGUUAAGUCAGUGGUGAAAUCUCCGGGCUCAACCCGGAAACUGCCAUUGAUACUAAUGGUCUUGAAUUUUGUUGAGGUAGGCGGAAUAAGUCAUGUAGCGGUGAAAUGCAUAGAUAUGACUUAGAACACCAAUUGCGAAGGCAGCUUGCUAAACAAAUAUUGACGCUGAGGCACGAAAGCGUGGGGAUCAAACAGG
rnacentral:rRNA from 1 species